GCCUGUGUUGAGUUUCCUCUUAGAAACUGAGGGUUUUUGAUAAGAGUCUCUAUCUUCGUUAAGACGAGAUCCCUUGUGUCUUUGAUGUAGUUUAUUUUUCUCUUAUCACUAGUGUAGUUCGUCGCUUUCUCUUUUUAUCUCCCCCUAUUUUUUUAUAUUUGGGCGAGGGUUUUCCCUCUGCUCUUAGUGGGAUUGUAGGGAUGU
rnacentral:lncRNA from 1 species